GCUGGGCACAGUGGCGCACACCUGUAAUCCCAGCAACUCAGGAGGCUGAGGCAGGAGGAUCGUGAGUGCAAAGCCAGCCAGCAAGAGCAAGGUGCUAAGCAACUCAGUGAGACCCUGUAUCUA
rnacentral:sRNA from 1 species